GAUGAACGCUGGCGGCGUGCCUAAUACAUGCAAGUCGAGCGAAUGGAUUAAGAGCUUGCUCUUAUGAAGUUAGCGGCGGACGGGUGAGUAACACGUGGGUAACCUGCCCAUAAGACUGGGAUAACUCCGGGAAACCAGGGCUAAUACCGGAUAACAUUUUGAACCGCAUGGUUCGAAAUUGAAAGGCGGCUUCGGCUGUCACUUAUGGAUGGACCCGCGUCGCAUUAGCUAGUUGGUGUGGUAACGGCUCACCAAGGCAACGAUGCGUAGCCGAGCUGAGAGGGUGAUCGGCCACACUGGGACUGAGACACGGCCCAGACUCCUACGGGAGGCAGCAGUAGGGAAUCUUCCGCAAUGGACGAAAGUCUGACGGAGCAACGCCGCGUGAGUGAUGAAGGCUUUCGGGUCGUAAAACCCUGUUGUUAGGGAAGAACAAGUGCUAGUUGAAUAAGCUGGCACCUUGACGGUACCUAACCAGAAAGCCACGGCUAACUACGUGCCAGCCGCCGCGGUAA
rnacentral:rRNA from 1 species